GGAAGGAUCAUUACCAAUCCAACCUUACAAACCACUGUGCACCUGUUUUUGUCCUUGGGAGGAAGGAAGUGAUUGCAGUUUCGGCUGCUUUUACUGAGAGCCUCCCAAAUGUUUUAAACAACUUGUUAAACAAUUUUGUUGACAAACUUUUCUGCAGCUUCUUAGCACAGAAAUAUCUUAACAAAAUACAACUUUUAACGGUGGAUCUCUUGGCUCAUGCAUCGAUGAAGAACGCAGCGAAAUGCGAUACGUAAUGUGAAUUGCAGAAUUCAGUGAAUCAUCGAAUCUUUGAACGCAAAUUGCGCUUUGGGGUAUUCCCCGGAGCAUACCUGGUUGAGUAUCAUUAACCCAACUCAUUCAAAUUCCUUUACUGGAAACUGCGAAUGGACAUGAGGCGUUUGGGCUUACAUUUAUUGGCUUUCUAACCUUGUUAGAGAACAAAUAAAUCCAGCCCAAUCCCUUUUAAGAACAGAGAUGUGCGCCGUUCACUGGCUGUACAAUUGAUGUGGUAAUUGUUUUCGUAACAUCACUCUUCAAUUGGCACCAGAGUUUAAAGCUCACAUUUGAUCACAGGAAAAUCUUAGGGAAGUUUAUCAAUUGGUUCCUCUCUCCGGAAAGGUUACCUUUUUUUAACAACUCUUUGAAUCUUUGAUCUCAACUCAGGUAAGACUACCCGCCGAAUUUAAGCAUAUUAAUAAGCGGAGGAAAAGAAACUAACAAGGAUUCCCCUAGUAACGGCGAGUGAAGCGGGAAUAGCUCAAAUUUGAAAUCUCCUUGCUUUGCAAGGCGAGUUGUAAUUUAGAGAAGCAUUUUCUAAGAUGGCCCUGGUAUAAAUUCCUUGGAAUGGGGUAUCAUAGAGGGUGAGAAUCCCGUCUGUGACUGGGUGUCCAUUUUUUUACGAUAUGCUUUCUACGAGUCGGGUUGUUUGGGAAUGCAGCCCAAAAUGGGUGGUAAAUUUCAUCUAAAGCUAAAUAUUGGCAUGAGACCGAUAGCGAACAAGUACCGUGAGGGAAAGAUGAAAAGAACUUUGAAAAGAGAGUUAAACAGUACGUGAAACCGUUAAAAGGGAAACGAUUGAAACUAGCAUUUGUUUCUUUCCAGAUCAGGUAAACAGUUUGAGGUCAUUUAGCUUUGAGAGCGCAAGCCUCGGGUUUUUUGUUCCGAUUUUUGUUUGCUGCACUCUGGUUUGAAACAGGUCAGCAUCAAUUUUGACUGCAGGAUAAGGGUAGCAGAAGGUAGCUCAUUUGCUUGCAUUUGAGUAUUAAGUCUGUUGCUUUCUACUGCGGGCGGGAUUGAGGUGACGCAGAGUGUGCCUUUGGCUGGGAUCUUUUGCAUUUAGUGGUCUGGCAGGAUCUCACUGCUUGCAGUGUGGUUUUGACAUGUCUGCUAAGUGUUUAAUGUACCACAAACACUCUUCGGAUGUUGACGAAAUGGUUUUAACCGACCCGUCUUGAAACACGGACCAAGGAGUCUAACAUAUGCGCAAGUCUUUGGGUGGCAAACCCCCGGGCGCAAUGAAAGUGAAGGCAAGUUCGGCUUGCUGAGGUGAGAACCCGCAAGGGUGCAUCAUCGACCGAUCUGGAUAUUCUUUGAAAGAUUUGAGUAAGAGCGUAUAUGCUGGGACCCGAAAGAUGGUGAACUAUGCCUGAAUAGGGUGAAGUCAGAGGAAACUCUGAUGGAAGCUCGUAGCGAUUCUGACGUGCAAAUCGAUCGUCGAAUUUGGGUAUAGGGGCGAAAGACUAAUCGAACCAUCUAGUAGCUGGUUCCCUC
rnacentral:misc_RNA from 1 species